UACGGAGGGUGCAAACGUUGCUCGGAAUCAUUGGGCGUAAAGCGCACGUAGGCGGUCCGUUAAGUCGGGAGUGAAAGCCCUCGGCUCAACCGAGGAAGUGCUUUCGAAACUGGCGGACUUGAAUACUGGAGAGGAUCGCGGAAUUCCCGGUGUAGAGGUGAAAUUCGUAGAUAUCGGGAGGAACACCGGUGGCGAAGGCGGCCUUCUGGACGGAUACUGACGCUGAGACGCGAAAGCGUGGGGAGCAAACAGG
rnacentral:rRNA from 1 species